UACGUAGGUGGCAAGCGUUGUCCGGAUUUACUGGGCGUAAAGAGCGCGCAGGCGGUCGGAUAAGUCGAAUGUGAAAGCCCCCGGCUCAACUGGGGAGGGUCAUUCGAUACUGUUCGACUCGAAGGCAGGAGAGGGAAGUGGAAUUCCCGGUGUAGUGGUGAAAUGCGUAGAUAUCGGGAGGAACACCCGUAGCGAAGGCGGCACUCUGGGCCGGAACUGACGCUGAGGAGCGAAAGCGUGGGGAGCAAACAGG
rnacentral:rRNA from 1 species